rnacentral:rRNA from 1 species
GAGGGGGUUUGGUCGGGAUUAUUGGGCGUAAGAGCGUGUAGGCGGUUAGGUAGGUCCGUUGUGAAAACUCGAGGCUCAACCUCGAGGCGCCGAUGGAAACCCCCUAACUAGAGUCCGGAAGAGGAGAGUGGAAUUCCUGGUGUAGCGGUGAAAUGCGCAGAUAUCAGGAAGAACACCCGUGGCUAAGGCGGCUCUCUAGUACGGUACUGACGCUGAGACGCGAAAGCGUGGGGAGCGAACAGGAUUAGAUACCCUGGUAGUCCACGCCGUAAACGAUGGGUACUAGGUGUAGGAGGUAUCGACUCCUUCUGUGCCGCAGUUAACACAAUAAGUACCCCGCCUGGGGAGUACGGUCGCAAGAUUAAAACUCAAAGGAAUUGACGGGGGCCCGCACAAGCAGCGGAGCAUGUGGUUUAAUUCGAAGCAACGCGAAGAACCUUACCUAGGCUUGACAUCUCCUGAAUUACCCGUAACUGGGGAAGCUCUUCGGAGCAGGAAGACAGGUGGUGCAUGGUUGUCGUCAGCUCGUGUCGUGAGAUGUUGGGUUAAGUCCCGCAACGAGCGCAACCCUUAUUGUUAGUUGCUACCAUUAAGUUGAGCACUCUAGCAAGACUGCCCGGGUUAACCGGGAGGAAGGUGGGGAUGACGUCAAAUCAUCAUGCCCCUUAUGUCUAGGGCUACACACGUGCUACAAUGGUGAGUACAGAGAGAUGCAAGACCGCGAGGUGGAGCCAAACUCUAAAACUCAUCCCAGUUCGGAUUGUAGGCUGCAACUCGCCUACAUGAAGCCGGAGUUGCUAGUAAUCACGAAUCAGAAUGUCGCGGUGAAUACGUUCCCGGGCCUUGUACACACCGCCCGUCACACCAUGAGAGUUAGCAAUACCCGAAGUCCGUGAGGUAACCGUAAAGGAGCCAGCGGCCGAACGUAGGGUUAGCGAUUGGGUGAAGUCGUAACAAGGUAACC